UACGUAGGGAGCAAGCGUUGUCCGGAAUCAUUGGGCGUAAAGAGCGCGUAGGUGGCCACAUAAGUCCGUUGUGAAAGUCAAAGGCUCAACCUUUGAAAGCCGAUGGAUACUGUGUGGCUAGAGUACGGAAGAGGCGAGUGGAAUUCCUGGUGUAGCGGUGGAAUGCGCAGAUAUCAGGAGGAACACCAAUAGCGAAGGCAGCACUCUGGGACGUGACUGACGCUGAGACGCGAAAGCGUGGGGAGCAAACAGG
rnacentral:rRNA from 1 species